rnacentral:rRNA from 1 species
AGGGCUCGUAGGUGGCCAANUAAGUCGGACGUGAAAUCCCUCAGCUUAACUGGGGAACUGCGUCCGAUACUGGAUGGCUUGAGUUUGGGAGAGGGAUGCGGAAUUCCAGGUGUAGCGGUGAAAUGCGUAGAUAUCUGCAGGAACACCCGUGGCGAAAGCGGCGCGCUGGACCACUACUGACGCUGAGGAACGAAAGCUAGGGGAGCAAACAGGAUUAGAUACCCUGGUAGUCCUAGCCCUAAACGAUCAGGACUUGGGGUGCCACCCGUUCGGGUGUCGUCCCGGAGCUAACGCGUUAAGUCCUGCACCUGGGGAGUACGGUCGCAAGACUGAAACUCAAAGGAAUUGACGGGGGCCCGCACAAGCGGUGGAACAUGUGGUUCAAUUCGACGCUACGCGAGGAACCUUACCUGGGCUCGAAAUGCUGGUGACCAGCUGUAGAAAUACGGCCUUCCCGCAAGGGACACCAGUAUAGGCGCUGCAUGGCUGUCGUCAGCUCGUG